UACGAAGGGGGCUAGCGUUGCUCGGAAUCACUGGGCGUAAAGCGCACGUAGGCGGACUCUUAAGUCGGUGGUGAAAUCCUGGAGCUCAACUCCAGAACUGCCUUUGAUACUGGGAAUCUCGAGUCCGGGAGAGGUGAGUGGAACUGCGAGUGUAGAGGUGAAAUUCGUAGAUAUUCGCAAGAACACCAGUGGCGAAGGCGGCUCACUGGCCCUGUACUGACGCUGAGGUGCGAAAGCGUGGGGAGCAAACAGG
rnacentral:rRNA from 1 species